rnacentral:rRNA from 1 species
GGGGAAUUGUUCGCAAUGGGCGCAAGCCUGACGACGCAACGCCGCGUGGAGGAUGAAGGUCUUCGGAUUGUAAACUCCUGUUGCCAGGGACGAAUAGCUUCGACCUAAUACGUCGAAGUAUGACGGUACCUGGUGAGGAAGUCCCGGCUAACUCUGUGCCAGCAGCCGCGGUAAUACAGAGGGGGCAAGCGUUGUUCGGAAUUACUGGGCGUAAAGGGCGCGUAGGCGGCCUGCUAAGUCGAACGUGAAAUCCCCAGGCUCAACCUGGGAACUGCGUCCGAUACUGACAGGCUUGAAUCCGGGAGAGGGAUGUGGAAUUCCAGGUGUAGCGGUGAAAUGCGUAGAUAUCUGGAGGAACACCGGUGGCGAAGGCGGCAUCCUGGACCGGUAUUGACGCUGAGGCGCGAAAGCUAGGGUAGCAAAC